UACGAAGGGGGCUAGCGUUGUUCGGAAUUACUGGGCGUAAAGCGCACGUAGGCGGAUUGUUAAGUUAGGGGUGAAAUCCCAGGGCUCAACCCUGGAACUGCCUUUAAUACUGGCAAUCUCGAGUCCGAGAGAGGUGAGUGGAAUUCCGAGUGUAGAGGUGAAAUUCGUAGAUAUUCGGAAGAACACCAGUGGCGAAGGCGACUUACUGGACACAUAUUGACGCUGAGGUGCGAAAGCGUGGGGAGCAAACAGG
rnacentral:rRNA from 1 species